rnacentral:rRNA from 1 species
AUACGUAGGUGGCGAGCGUUGUCCGGAUUUACUGGGCGUAAAGGGUGCGUAGGCGGAUGUUUAAGUGAGAUGUGAAAUCCCCGGGCUUAACCUGGAGGCUGCGUUUCAAACUGGAUAUCUAGAGUGCAGGAGAGGAGAAUGGAAUUCCUAGUGUAGCGGUGAAAUGCGUAGAGAUUAGGAAGAACACCAGUGGCGAAAGCGAUUCUCUGGACUGUAACUGACGCUGAGGCACGAAAGCGUGGGUAGCAAACAGGAUUAGAUACCCUGGUAGUCCACGCCGUAAACGAUGAGUACUAGGUGUAGGAGGUAUCGACCCCUUCGGUGCCGCAGUUAAUACAAUAAGUACUCCGCCUGGGAAGUACGAUCGCAAGAUUAAA